AGAUGAGCUAGAAUGUCCUUUGUUGCAGUGUUGUUGUGUUGAUGGGGUACUGUAGCAAAGCGUUCUUGUCUCCUCUGACCACUGUGGUUCCUUCCAGUCCUGUAUGAACCAAUACAGGCGUUGGUGGCUUUUUACUUUAGCGUAUCAAACAUUCUUUUAGAUGCAAAGAUGUUAUUUUUAUUGCUCCCCUGUUGGAUGGAUAGCAAAAAUACAACUCAUCUUGCUAUGACAGGCUCCAGAAAUAGCACUAAAUCGUGUGUGUGGUUGGAAAGCUUUCUAGCCUGUUUAUUCUAGCGAAAGCUGACAGUGUGGAUGAGGUUGCUCUUCUGUCUGCUCAUUUAAAAGAAAAACAAACACAAAAAACCAACCCAAAUCUUGCAUAGCUUUCCUGCAUGGGCAGAAUCGUUCGAAUGAGACGAAGGGUACACUUGGCUGAGAAGCCUGUAUUGCUACUGAACAUUGAAUUUUGAUGUUUGUCUUUACUGCUGUGUUGCAAUGUCUAAGCUCUGCAGUAAGUGGGUGACACUGUCUUUGUAUAUGAUCCUUUUUUGUAAAUUCCAGCACUGGUGUGUUUCUACCUUCCCGUGUGGGGAUGAGAAAUAGUGAUUAAAAUAAAAGUCUAGAUGAAAGGGAAAAGGGAUAAGCAGAUAAUCUUGGGGGAGAAAAUAAAUGACGUGGUCUGAAGAGACAUUUGUCUUGUGAGAUAUGAUAGGAAGUUGUUUACUUCACAAGAAUGAUUCAGAAUUGCCAGUGUGGGAAGUCUUAAGAACACAUUAAGCAUCCUCAGGAGCAGCCUUUUUGUAGGGGAUCAUGGCUGGAGACAAGAGGAGGGCAGUCAUACCCAGAUGCUUCAGCUGGCUCUGGCUGUGCUCCAUACCCAUUUGACAUGCUGUUGAUGGUGCACUCCCAGUGGAGUUCAGGUUCCUACAGCAGCUGUCAUGCUGUGAUCCACCGCAGUCUUAUUCUCAAUUUUCUGGAAGCAAAUAUGUUUAAGAGUGAGAAGAAAAGGACCCUGUGGCAUCAGUGAUAAUUGAUCCCUGCACAUCUGGGAAGGCUUAGUACAACGGGACAAGGGGUCACACUCCUAAAAACACACAUUUAUUUGAUAGUGCCUGAAAGGGUGCUUUAAAAUGCGGCUAGUAAGGCUAGAUACAGUUAACAUGCUCUGUCUGUUUAGAGCUACUGAAAUAAUUACACAUUUUAAGCAUGGUGCCUUCCAAUUAAAUUAAAAACUGAAGUGCAGGAAGCCUUUAUUUGUAGUCACCUAGCAGGCUGUUGUGGUGUCUUACACAAGUAAAGAAAUAAUUUUGUUUGUUCAAAAUUGCGAAACCUAAUGAGAAGAAGAAAGUAGGGAAACUUGUUUUGCCUCAUCUACUGAGGCAAGAGUAUGGAAGGCUGAGAUUCUUACCUCCCUUGAAAGACACAGUGACAAGUCAAAUUAAGUUCAUUACCUUCCUCUGCUUUGCUUUGUCCACUAAAAAUUAAACCUUAGAGAAGAAUUGUUUAUAAGCUUCUAAGACAUGUCAGUACAUGUUAUACUCAUGUCCAGGUGCUUUCUUGUCUCUCUUUGAUAAAAGUCACUUUCCAUACAAAAGUAACUUCUCAAAGAAUGACAAAGAAACAUCUCUUGCGGAUGAAUUUUUGAACUCUAUAUGAAUGCCAUUAAAAUCCUUAAAAAAA